UACGAAGGGGGCUAGCGUUGCUCGGAAUCACUGGGCGUAAAGGGUGCGUAGGCGGGUCUUUAAGUCAGGGGUGAAAUCCUGGAGCUCAACUCCAGAACUGCCUUUGAUACUGAAGAUCUUGAGUUCGGGAGAGGUGAGUGGAACUGCGAGUGUAGAGGUGAAAUUCGUAGAUAUUCGCAAGAACACCAAUGGCGAAGGCAGCUCGCUGGGACGUUACUGACGCUGAGACGCGAAAGCGUGGGGAGCAAACAGG
rnacentral:rRNA from 1 species